rnacentral:rRNA from 1 species
GCUAAUACCGCAUAAUGCCUACGGGCCAAAGAGGGGGACCUUCGGGCCUCUCGCGUCAAGAUAUGCCUAGGUGGGAUUAGCUAGUUGGUGAGGUAAUGGCUCACCAAGGCGACGAUCCCUAGCUGGUCUGAGAGGAUGAUCAGCCACACUGGAACUGAGACACGGUCCAGACUCCUACGGGAGGCAGCAGUGGGGAAUAUUGCACAAUGGGCGAAAGCCUGAUGCAGCCAUGCCGCGUGUAUGAAGAAGGCCUUCGGGUUGUAAAGUACUUUCAGUUGUGAGGAAGGGGGUAGUGUUAAUAGCGCUAUCUCUUGACGUUAGCAACAGAAGAAGCACCGGCUAACUCCGUGCCAGCAGCCGCGGUAAUACGGAGGGUGCGAGCGUUAAUCGGAAUUACUGGGCGUAAAGCGCAUGCAGGUGGUUCAUUAAGUCAGAUGUGAAAGCCCGGGGCUCAACCUCGGAACUGCAUUUGAAACUGGUGAACUAGAGUACUGUAGAGGGGGGUAGAAUUUCAGGUGUAGCGGUGAAAUGCGUAGAGAUCUGAAGGAAUACCAGUGGCGAAGGCGGCCCCCUGGA